AACGAACGCUGGCGGCAGGCUUAACACGUGCAAGUCGAGCGCCCCGCAAGGGGAGCGGCAGACGGGUGAGUAACGCGUGGGAAUCUACCCAUCCCUACGGAAUAGCUCCGGGAAACUGGAAUUAAUACCGCAUACGCCCUACGGGGGAAAGAUUUAUCGGGGAUGGAUGAGCCCGCGUUGGAUUAGGUAGUUGGUGGGGUAAUGGCCUACCAAGCUGACGAUCCAUAGCUGGUUUGAGAGGAUGAUCAGCCACACUGGGACUGAGACACGGCCCAGACUCCUACGGGAGGCAGCAGUGGGGAAUCUUAGACAAUGAGCGCAAGCCUGAUCUAGCCAUGCCGCGUGAGCGAUGAAGGCCUUAGGGUUGUAAAGCUCUUUCGUGGGGGAAGAUAAUGACGGUACCCCAAGAAGAAGCCCCGGCUAACUCCGUGCCAGCAGCCGCGGUAACAC
rnacentral:rRNA from 1 species